GAAAGAUGAAGUAGAGAAGUAGAAAGUAAUCCUCGCUCUAUAAGCUGAAUAGAGAAAAAUGAUGCUUCCGGAGGUCGGUUUGCCAAAGCCAUGUGCCUCAAGAAAAUGGUAGUGGCUUGUCUUCCUGCAACUGAUACAUCUUGAUUAUCGUAGAACUGACAAACAAGGGUUAAGCCUGACUGGUUUUCAACGUUGUUGUUGUUGCU
rnacentral:misc_RNA from 1 species